UAGGAUUCCCUUAGUAGCUGCGAGCGAACAGGGAUUAGCCCAGCACUGAAUCCCGCGGCCGAUAUCGGACGCCGGGAAAUGUAGUGUUUGGGAGGAUCCAUUAUCCUGAGAUUGAUUUAUUGAGUCCAAGUCCUUCUUGAACGGGGCCACAGCCCAUAGAGGGUGCCAGGCCCGUAGUGACCAAUAACAAUAGCGGGAGGAUCUCUCCUUAGAGUCGGGUUGCUUGAGAGUGCAGCCCUAAGUGGGUGGUAAACUCCAUCUAAGGCUAAAUAUAAACACGAGACCGAUAGCGAACAAGUACCGUGAGGGAAAGUUGAAAAGCACUUUGAAGAGAGAGUUCAAUAGUACGUGAAACCGUUCAGGGGUAAACCUGAGAAAUCCGAAAGGUCGAAAGGGGAAAUUCAUUCGUAUUUCGAUAUUGGCAUUGUGUGUUUGUUAUGACAAUUGACAAUUUAUUGUUCUUUUGCAUCUUACGCAUUAUGAACUGGUACCGAAUACGUGCACUUUUCCCCAAGUAGGACGCCGUGAUCCGUUGGGUGUCGGUCUAAGGUUUUGUGGUGGCAGACCAUUUAGAUAGUUUAUAGCUAUUUAAUCUAAAUGGACCCAUAUUAUCCCGACCGGCUCGCUCGACGGUAUCAUUAAUGACGCAGAGCCGCAAAUUUACAAAAUUUGCGUUCGGCCCACAACAAGCGUACUAUGUGUAUUGGUGUAACGGACCUAGUGCCGUCACUGAACCUUAGUAUCUGUUGGUUGUGGUGUUCUCGAACAGACUCUGUAAUAUGAAACGUCAAUCAGCGGCGCUAUAGCUUUGGAUACUUUCAGGACCCGUCUUGAAACGCGGACCAAGGAGUCUAGCAUGUGCGCAAGUCAUUGGGAUUUGAAAUUAAACCUAAAGGCGUAAUGAAAGUAAAUGUU
rnacentral:rRNA from 1 species